AUUGAACGCUGGCGGCAGGCCCAACACAUGCAAGUCGAGCGGAUGAGGAAAGCUUGCUUUUCGAUUCAGCGGCGGACGGGUGAGUAAUGCCUAGGAAUCUGCCUGUUAGUGGGGGAUAACUCGGGGAAACUCGGGCUAAUACCGCAUACGUCCUACGGGAGAAAGUGGGGGAUCUUCGGACCUCACGCUAACAGAUGAGCCUAGGUCGGAUUAGCUAGUAGGUGAGGUAAUGGCUCACCUAGGCGACGAUCCGUAACUGGUCUGAGAGGAUGAUCAGUCACACUGGAACUGAGACACGGUCCAGACUCCUACGGGAGGCAGCAGUGGGGAAUAUUGGACAAUGGGCGAAAGCCUGAUCCAGCCAUGCCGCGUGUGUGAAGAAGGUCUUCGGAUUGUAAAGCACUUUAAGUUGGGAGGAAGGGUAUUCACCUAAUACGUGGGUACUUUGACGUUACCAACAAAAUAAGCACCGGCUAACUCUGUGCCAGCAGCCGCAGUAAAAC
rnacentral:rRNA from 1 species